rnacentral:rRNA from 1 species
GACGAACGCUGGCGGCGUGCCUAAUACAUGCAAGUAGAACGCUGAAGGAGGAGCUUGCUUCUCUGGAUGAGUUGCGAACGGGUGAGUAACGCGUAGGUAACCUGCCUGGUAGCGGGGGAUAACUAUUGGAAACGAUAGCUAAUACCGCAUAAGAGUAGAUGUUGCAUGACAUUUGCUUAAAAGGUGCAAUUGCAUCACUACCAGAUGGACCUGCGUUGUAUUAGCUAGUUGGUGGGGUAACGGCCCACCAAGGCGACGAUACAUAGCCGACCUGAGAGGGUGGACGGCCCACCUGGGAAUGAGACACGGCCCAGACUCCUACGGGAGGCAGCAGGAGGGAAUCUUCGGCAAUGGACGGAAGGCUGACCGAGCAAAGCCGCGGGAGUGAAGAAGGUUUUCGGAUCGGAAAGCUCUGUUGUAAGAGAAGAACGAGUGUGAGAGUGGAAAGUUCACACUGUGACGGUAUCUUAACAGAAAGGGACGGCUAACUACGUG